AUAAGUUCUCGGCUUUACCGCUUAGAGUCUUUGUGUAGUAUCUGUUCUAGAAAGUGUAACAACUUUCUGUUCGAAAACAUUUCGAACUAAUUGUUACUCUAAUUUUUUUAGAGGUGUGGGAAAACAAACUGGGGCUUGCCUCAGCCUCCCACUUAGAUUGUCUUGAUUUGCACUACCAUCAUGCACAGUCUACCUCAC